rnacentral:tRNA from 1 species
UCUAAAAUGGCAGAUAAAUGCCUGAGAUUUAAGCUCUCAUCAUGGAGAUCAUACCUCCUUUUAGAA